rnacentral:rRNA from 1 species
UGCAAGUCGAACGGUAACAUUUCUAGCUUGCUAGAAGAUGACGAGUGGCGGACGGGUGAGUAAUGCUUGGGAACUUGCCUUUGCGAGGGGGAUAACAGUUGGAAACGACUGCUAAUACCGCAUAAUGUCUUCGGACCAAACGGGGCUUCGGCUCCGGCGCAAAGAGAGGCCCAAGUGAGAUUAGCUAGUUGGUAAGGUAAUGGCUAACCAAGGCGACGAUCUCUAGCUGUUCUGAGAGGAAGAUCAGCCACACUGGGACUGAGACACGGCCCAGACUCCUACGGGAGGCAGCAGUGGGGAAUAUUGCACAAUGGGGGAAACCCUGAUGCAGCCAUGCCGCGUGUGUGAAGAAGGCCUUCGGGUUGUAAAGCACUUUCAGUUGUGAGGAAAAGCUAGUAGUUAAUACCUGCUAGCCGUGACGUUAACAACAGAAGAAGCACCGGCUA